UCGCAACCCCGGCAGACGCUUCCGCUUCCCGGCGGCCGUAAAGCGCAGACAAGUGGUGUCGUAGUAGGCAGGAGCUAGGGAGACUAGGGGCGUCCUGGAGCCAUGAUCGAGGCUGCUGUAAUGAUCGGCUGGGCAAGAAGGUCAGUGUGAAGUGCAACACCACGCCUCAAUAGGAGACCUGAAGAAACUGAUUGCUGCACAGACAGGCACCCGUUGGAACAAGAUUGUUCUGAAGAAAUGGUACACAAUCUUCAAGGACCAUGUGACUCUAGGGGACUAUGAGAUCCACGAUGGAAUGAACUUGGAGCUUUAUUACCAAUAAGGGUAGCAACACCCCAUCCCCCAAAUCUGCACCUCUCUUCCCUUUUUAAAAGCUAAUAAAAUAACUUCAAUGAU